UCCGGCCGCCAUGGCCGCGGGAUUCCUACCAUGGUGGUAACGGGUGACGGAGGAUUAGGGUUCGAUUCCGGAGAGGGAGCCUGAGAAACGGCUACCACAUCCAAGGAAGGCAGCAGGCGCGCAAAUUACCCAAUCCCGACACGGGGAGGUAGUGACAAUAAAUAACAAUACGGGGCUCUUUCGGGUCUCGUAAUUGGAAUGAGUACAAUUUAAAUCCCUUAACGAGGAACAAUUGGAGGGCAAGUCUGGUGCCAGCAGCCGCGGUAAUUCCAGCUCCAAUAGCGUAUAUUAAAGUUGUUGCAGUUAAAAAGCUCGUAGUUGAAUUUUGGGACCAAUAUGUCGGUCGUGCCUCGGUACGCACUGGCUUAUUGGUUUCUCCUUUCUGAAGAACCAUGAUGUCAUUCAUCUGGUGUCGUGGGGAAUCAGGACUGUUACUUUGAAAAAAUUAGAGUGUUUAAAGCAGGCUCACGCUUGAAUACAUUAGCAUGGAAUAAUGAAAUAGGACGUUUGAUUCUAUUUUGUUGGUUUCUAGGAUCGACGUAAUGAUUAAUAGGGAUAGUUGGGGGCAUUAGUAUUCAAUUGUCAGAGGUGAAAUUCUUGGAUUUAUUGAAGACUAACUACUGCGAAAGCAUUUGCCAAGGAUGUUUUCAUUAAUCAAGAACGAAAGUUAGGGGAUCGAAGACGAUCAGAUACCGUCGUAGUCUUAACCAUAAACUAUGCCGACUAGGGAUCGGAUGAUGUUAAUUUUUUAAUGACUCAUCCGGCGCCUUACGGGAAACCAAAGUGUUUGGGUUC
rnacentral:rRNA from 1 species